rnacentral:rRNA from 1 species
GACGAACGCUGGCGGCGUGCCUAAUACAUGCAAGUCGAACGCAGUGGGGACGGGUGAGUAACACGUGGGUAACCUCCCAUCAGAGGGGAUAACACUUGGAAACAGGUGCUAAACCGAUACUGAUGGAUGGAACCGCGGUGCAUUAGCUUGUUGGUGAGGUAACGGCUCACCAAGGCCACGAUGCAUAGCCGACCUGGGAGAGUGAUCGGCCACACUGGGACUGAGCCACGGCCCAGACUCCUGCGGGAGGCAGCAGUAGGGAAUCUUCGGCAAUGGACGAAAGUCUGACCGAGCAACGCCGCGUUAGUGAAGAAGGUUUUCGGAGCGUAAAACUCUGUUGUUAGGGAAGCGUUAUCUAACCAGAAAGCCACGGCUAACUACGUGCCAGCAGCCGCGGUAAUAC